GACAGAGGUGCCGAGCGUUAGGCGGAAUCACUGGGCUUAAAGCGUGUGUAGGCGGCGGCCUAAGUACCUUGUGAAAUCCCACGGCUCACCCGUGGAACUGCUCGGUAUACUGGGUCGCUUGAGCCACUUAGGGGCUACCGGAACAAAUGGUGGAGCGGUGAAAUGCGUAGAUAUCAUUUGGAACGCCAAUGGUGAAAACAGGUAGCUGGGAGUGUGCUGACGCUGAGACACGAAAGCCAGGGGAGCAAACGGG
rnacentral:rRNA from 1 species